GAGCAGGAAUGACUUGACUGGUCAUGAUCUGUAUGACUGAGCAGUGCGCACGCUCUCUCUUUCUCACACACGCUCUCUCUCUCUCUUGCACUCUCUCACCACAGACACACUCACCCGCUGAGUGGAGAGCUCCAGGACAGGCUGCUCUCGCAGCACAGCCUCAGGGACUUAGAGGACGGACACAGGAUGUGAAGAGAGCAGGUGGCUGACAGUCUCACAGCAACAAGCAGAAGUCAGAGGAGAGGACAGGAGAGGGGCCAGACUCACCCAGGUGGACAGAGGAAAUGGGAGGCUGUGGAGGAUAUGACAAACAGCCCUCAUUCAGUCAGCAGACUAACUGGACAGCUCUACUGUACGCCACAGGGGACAGUGAGUAAAAC
ensembl:lncRNA